rnacentral:tRNA from 1 species
GCCCCAGUGGUGGAACGGUAGACGCGCUGGACUCAAAAUCCAGUGUCCGCAAGGACGUGGGGGUUCAAGUCCCUCCUGGGGCACCA